UACGUAGGGGGCAAGCGUUGUCCGGAUUUAUUGGGCGUAAAGAGCGUGUAGGCGGCCUGAAAGGUCAGCUGUGAAAACUCGAGGCUCAACCUCGAGACGUCGGUUGAAACCAUCUGGCUAGAGUCCGGAAGAGGAGAGUGGAAUUCCCGGUGUAGCGGUGAGAUGCGCAGAUAUCGGGAAGAACACCCGUGGCGAAGGCGGCUCUCUGGGACGGUACUGACGCUGAGACGCGAAAGCGUGGGGAGCGAACAGG
rnacentral:rRNA from 1 species